rnacentral:tRNA from 1 species
GGAGAGGUGUCCGAGUGGCUUAAGGAGCACGCCUGGAAAGUGUGUAUACGGCAUCCCCGUAUCGAGGGUUCGAAUCCCUCUCUCUCCGCCA